rnacentral:lncRNA from 1 species
ACUCAACCUAUGCCCACUACACCAACACGAAUUCCCUCACCAUCGCUGAGGUACCAUUCGGCCACUCGCCAAAAUUCGGCGAUCACUCAACCACUUCCGCAAUAGGGACGCUAUUACCACCACUCGACCCAUCGGAACAUCGUCCAAAACUCUCGAACUACAAAGUUGUCCUCGAACAUCCCAACUUAACUCUCACAAUCCGUUACUCACAUUGCCCAGA